rnacentral:rRNA from 1 species
CGAGUCUGAAUAGGGCGAUAGUCGCUGGGAGUAGACCCGAAACCGGGCGAUCUAGCCAUGUGCAGGAUGAAGGUUGGGUAACACCAACUGGAGGUCCGAACCGGGUAAUGUUGAAAAAUUAUCGGAUGACGUGUGGCUAGGAGUGAAAGGCUAAUCAAGCCCGGAGAUAGCUGGUUCUCCCCGAAAGCUAUUUAGGUAGCGCCUCGUGAAUGAUUACUGGGGGUAGAGCACUGUUUCGGCUAGGGGGCUGUCAUGGCUUACCAAACCGAUGCAAACUCCGAAUACCGGCUAAUUGGAUCACGGGAGACACACGGCGGGUGCUAACGUCCGUCGUGGAGAGGGAAACAACCCAGACCGCCAGCUAAGGUCCCCAAGUACUAGUUAAGUGGGAAACGAUGUGGGAAGGCAUAGACAGCCAGGAGGUUGGCUUAGAAGCAGCCACCCUUUAAAGAAAGCGUAAUAGCUCACUGGUCGAGUCGGCCUGCGCGGAAGAUGUAACGGGGCUAAAACUAGUCACCGAAGCUGCGGAUGUGCGCGAAGGCGCACGUGGUAGGGGAGCGUUCUGUAGGCUGAUGAAGGUGCAUUGAGAGGUGUGCUGGAGGUAUCAGAAGUGCGAAUGCUGACAUGAGUAACGAUAAUGUGGGUGAAAAGCCCACACGCCGGAAGUCCCAGGUUUCCUGCACGACGUUAAUCGGAGCAGGGUGAGUCGGCCCCUAAGGCGAGGCUGAAGAGCGUAGUCGAUGGGAACCAGGUUAAUAUUCCUGGACUUUUUAUAAGUGGUGAAGUGGGGACGAAGAAGGCUAGGUGAGCCAGGCGUUGGUUGUCCUGGUACUUGCAUGUAGGGGGGAAGACUUGGCAAAUCCGGUUUUCCGAUACUCUGAGGUGCGAAGUGGUUCUGACCUUUUGGUACAGAGAAGUCAUUGAUGCCCGGCUUCCAGGAAAAGCUGCUAGCCAUAACUUAUAGAGAACCGUACCGCAAACCGACACAGGUGGACAGGUAGAGAAUACUAAGGCGCUUGAGAGAACUCGGGUGAAGGAACUAGGCAAAAUGGUACCGUAACUUCGGGAGAAGGUACGCCCUUUCUGGUGAUGGGAUUUACUUUCAGAGCUGGAGAGGGCCGCAGAGACCAGGUGGCUGCGACUGUUUAUUAAAAACACAGCACUCUGCAAAUUCGUAAGAAGACGUAUAGGGUGUGACGCCUGCCCGGUGCCGGAAGGUUAAUUGAUGGGGUUAUCUUCGGAGAAGCUCUUGAUCGAAGCCCCGGUAAACGGCGGCCGUAACUAUAACGGUCCUAAGGUAGCGAAAUUCCUUGUCGGGUAAGUUCCGACCUGCACGAAUGGCGUAACGAUGGCCACACUGUCUCCACCCGAGACUCAGUGAAAUUGAAAUCGCUGUGAAGAUGCAGUGUACCCGCGGCUAGACGGAAAGACCCCGUGAACCUUUACUAUAGUUUUGCACUGGACUUUGAUGAUGACUGUGUAGGAUAGGUGGGAGGCUGUGAAGUGAGGACGCUAGUUCUCAUGGAGCCGCCCUUGAAAUACCACCCUGUUGUUAUUGAGGUUCUAACUUGGUCCAGUAAUCCUGGAUGAGGACAGUGUAUGAUGGGUAGUUUGACUGGGGCGGUCUCCUCCCAAAGAGUAACGGAGGAGCACAAAGGUACCCUCGGUACGGUCGGACAUCGUACCAAGAGUGUAAAGGCAAAAGGGUGCUUGACUGCGAGAGUGACGGCUCGAGCAGGAACGAAAGUUGGUCUUAGUGAUCCGGUGGUUCUGAAUGGAAGGGCCAUCGCUCAACGGAUAAAAGGUACUCCGGGGAUAACAGGCUGAUACCGCCCAAGAGUUCAUAUCGACGGCGGUGUUUGGCACCUCGAUGUCGGCUCAUCACAUCCUGGGGCUGAAGCAGGUCCCAAGGGUAUGGCUGUUCGCCAUUUAAAGUGGUACGCGAGCUGGGUUUAGAACGUCGUGAGACAGUUCGGUCCCUAUCUGCCGUGGGCGUAGGAAAAUUGAGAGGAGCUGCUCCUAGUACGAGAGGACCGGAGUGGACGAACCUCUGGUGCACCGGUUGUCACGCCAGUGGCAUGGCCGGGUAGCUAAGUUCGGACGGGAUAACCGCUGAAAGCAUCUAAGCGGGAAGCCUCCCUCAAGAUGAGUUUUCCCAUGAAGCCCGUUGAAGACUACGACGUUGAUAGGCAAGGUGUGGAAGCGCAGUAAUGUGUGAAGCUAACUUGUACUAAUUGGCUGAUUGUCUUGACCAU